CUCCUCAGUCGGUGGGCGACUGCUUUUGUUUUGCUGGGGAGGGGAUUGGAUGGGGUUGACCGAGAUAGGCGAAAACGGCGGAGGGAAGGGGGGCUCCUCGCCGGUGAUUAGAGGCAGGACCGGCUGGGCAAAGAUGGCGCGCGGCGAGCCUCCCGCAAGCAGCGCUUGUAGGCGGGAUGCGUGCUUCACUGGGACGGUUGUAGGGGGAGAGAUGUAGGUCCGGAGAGGAGCUCGGCGGACCUCUCCCGUCGUGCUCGCCAUCAGCAAGCGCACGUCGGUGGCGGAGCUUAUAGUCGCCGGUGCAGGUCAGGUGAAAGUAUGCAGGGGGAGGGGUUGGGGGGAGGGGCGUACCUUAGUUGACCCCUCACACGGUGGCUCCAAGUCGUCAUGAUGUGGAUCGCUAGGAGCAUCACACCCAGCUUAGUUGGGUAUUUCUAUAGUUCUUAGUCUCCAUGUGUUUUCAAUUUUUCUCCCAGUGUUGGUUUAGUUUGAAUUCUCAGUUUCACACUUCUUACUAUCAUUCUUAAAAUUUUAGGAUCAGUUUUUACAAUUUUAGUCCUUAGUCCUCUGUACAAGUGUCAGACCUUCAGUUAAAUUGUUCGAUGUUCAUUAUUUCAUUUCCAGUGUUAGUAUUCAUUUUUUAGUACAAGUGCUCAGUCGGUUAUCAGACCUUCAGUUAAAUUGUUCAAUGUUCAUUAUUUCAUUUUCAGUGUUAUUAUUCAUUUUUUAGUAUAAGUGCUCAGUCGGUUAUCAGACCUUCAGUUUUUAGCAUUUCUCCAUUGUUUAGUAUAAGUGUUCAGACCUUCAUUGUUUUAUUUUUAGUAUCAUUUCAGUUAAUUAGUUUGUUUUUCUUAUUUCUUCAUUUUAUCAUUCAGGGACCUUAGUUUCUUUCAUCAGUGAUGGUUAGGUAGGUUAGUUAUCAUAGGAAGUUCAGUUCCGUCAGUUAUCAUAUCAUUGUUUCUCUUACUUUUGUUUUUCUGAGUCUUCUCAUUCUUCAUUCAUAUCAAAUUAUUAUUUUUUCAGUCACUUCUCAGUCUUGUGUUUCUGUUAUCAGUGUCUCAUUUCUCUUGUCAUUCAAAUUUUCUUUGUGUGCUAGUUGUUUUCAGUCUUGAGACGUUGUAUGGGUGGAAUUAGUCCUUCAUUUUUUGUUUUCCACUCUUACUAAUUUUUUUUAGUUAUCUUUGCCUUUCAUCCCUUAGUCUUCAGUUAUCAUUCCAGCCGUAUAUUUAAUUAUUCUUCAGUUCCAACCGUGUUCAUUAUCUUGAUACUGAUCAUUCUUUUGUUGUUAGAUAACUAAUCUUUAGUGCAACCCCUUCAGUCCCUUUUUAGUCAUUCUUUCUUUUGAUGAAGUAAAAAUGACAUGAUCAACUUUUUCUAUGACCUUAGUUUGUCCCCAGUCAUCUUCAUCAUAACUUUUCUAUUCUUUAAACAUUUGAUUUAGCAUCAGUUUUGUCUAUGACCUUAGUUUUGCCAUCUUCAUUAUUCUAUCUACACAACUUGCUCAUUUUUUAUUUCUUCCUGCUUUUUGGUUAGUUUCAGAAGUGAUAUUAGCUGCCAAGUUGCCAUCCUGUAGAUGCCCUUUUCUUUUGUUGUCCUUUAUCAGUAUCUGUGUUCUUAUGAUUAACACAAUAUCUUGUCUGAUAACCAAAAAUAGGUGGAACAUAAAUAGGAAUUUUAAUUUACAUCACUUGUAAUAUAUAGCAAAGCAUGCCUUCUCUUAGGUAUUCACUAACAUUCUCAUUUCCAUUUGAUUCACUUCAUUAACAUUUUCAGCCUUGUGUUUAUUUUUAUCUUUUGACCAUGCAUCUAGCAUUCUGCAGUUUUGCAUGGGCAGACAUAGGUAGUAAUACAACAUCUAGCACUGCAUUUUGCAUAAUUCUGAAAUUUUGUGUCUUUUAUUUUUCUUUUCCUUUUUACUUCUCUAUUUUUUUGGAUGGAUGACAAACAACUAUAAAUUACCUUUUAAGGUAGCUUCCAGCUUGAUGACCACCCCGACGGCAGGCAUGACUGGACUACACCUUGUGGGAGUGAUUUAAGCACCGCAGCAUACAAGACAGUAGCAGAUGGUCGUUUCGCUUUCAACAAGGAUGGCCGGGAGGAAAUCCUGGAGGAGAACUACCUAGCGGUUGGGAGAGCGGCGGUAAUCACCAUCAGGAACAACGCACUGGACGAAUUGAACAUGAUGGUUGUCUUGAACCAGAUCGAAUUAUGAGAUUGUCGGGGAAUAAAGGUUGUUUUGAGUUACUGCAGUUUGUUAUGCUGUCAGUUAUCCAUGUCGCGCCGGCCAACUGACGAACUGUGCUUUGUUUUUUUAUCAGUGGUAUGCACCGUCAAGGACUAUGUAAUAUAGUCUGAAAACUUCUUAUGCCUUUUUGUGUGGCACUUGAUUAUUAAGUGAUUAGUAACCAUAUUUCUCUCUUUUAUUUUAUUUUUAAGUUCUUAGUCA